CUCUGUAUUUCAAUUCAAAAGAUGUCACACGUAGAAAGGACGAUUCCUUCCUAUAUUAGCCAAAAUCUUUCUUGACUCACAAUUAAUGUGGGACUAAUGAUGUCCUUCCUCCUACACCACAAUACUUUUAAUAGAAUAAAACGAGACAUUAACAAUUAUGUUCAUUUAUUAAUAUCAAAAUUUGACUUGUAAGAAAUCUAUAUAAGAUACUUAAAUAAAAUAUUAAAACAUAUAGCUGAUAUAUUAAUUUCAUAUAGCUUGUGUCUCAGGUGAAGUUAUAAAACCUAAUGUACUAUUCUGUUUAGGG
rnacentral:lncRNA from 1 species